rnacentral:rRNA from 1 species
GAUUAACGCUGGCGGCGUGCAUAACACAUGCAAGUCGAACGAUGAAACUUAGUAGACUUCUUCGGAAAGACACUAAGCGGAUUAGUGGCGAACGGGUGAGUAACGCGUGAGUAACCUGCCUUACACAAGGGGAUAGCCUUUGGAAACGAAGAAUAAUACCCUAUAAAACCAUAAAAGCACAUGCUAGAAUGGUCAAAGUGAUAGCGGUGUAAGAUGGACUUGCGUCUGAUUAGCUAGUUGGUGAGAUAAAAGCUCACCAAGGCAACGAUCAGUAGCCGGCUUGAGAGAGUGUACGGCCACAUUGGGACUGAGACACGGCCCAG